rnacentral:rRNA from 1 species
UACGUAGGGGGCAAGUGUUGUCCGGAAUCAUUGGGCGUAAAGAGCGUGUAGGCGGCUCGAUAAGUCUGCUGUGAAAGGUCAGGGCUCAACCCUGGAAGGCCGGUGGAAACUGUCGGGCUAAGAGUCCGGAAGAGGCGAGUGGAAUUCCCCGGUGUAGCGGUGAAAAUGCGCGAUAUCGGGGAGGAAACACCCGGUGGCGAAGGCG